AUGAUCUCCCAGACUCAGUUUCUCUGGCUCCUUGUGCUCUGCAUUCAGGAAUCCAGUGGACAGAUUGUGCUGACUCAGACUCCAGAAUCCCUGGCAGUGUCUCCAGGAGACACAGUCACUAUCCGCUGCAAAUCCAAUUCCAGUGUUAGCAGCUACAUGGCCUGGUACCAACAGAAAUCAGGACAAGCUCCUACGCUCCUCAUCUACGAUGCUUCCACCCGUCAAUCUGGGGUCGCAGACCGGUUCAGCGGCAGUGGAUCUGGCACUGAUUUCACAUUCACCAUCAGCAGGGUUGAAGCAGAUGACGCUGGAGAUUAUUACUGUCAGAAUCAUAACAGCUACCCGCCCACACAGUGA